UACGUAGGGGGCAAGCGUUGUCCGGAUUCAUUGGGCGUAAAGAGCGUGUAGGCGGCCAGGUAGGUCGGUUGUGAAAACUGGAGGCUCAACCUUCAGAGGUCGACCGAAACCAUCUGGCUAGAGUCCGGAAGAGGAGAGUGGAAUUCCUGGUGUAGCGGUGAAAUGCGCAGAUAUCAGGAAGAACACCCGUGGCGAAGGCGGCUCUCUGGGCAAUUCCUGACGCUGAGGCGCGAAAGCGUGGGGAGCAAACGGG
rnacentral:rRNA from 1 species